UACGAAGGGGGCUAGCGUUGCUCGGAAUCACUGGGCGUAAAGGGUGCGUAGGCGGGUCUUUAAGUCAGGGGUGAAAUCCUGGAGCUCAACUCCCAGAACCGCCUUUGAUACUGAAGAUCUUGAGUUCGGGAGAGGUGAGUGGAACUGCGAGUGUAGAGGUGAAAUUCGUAGAUAUUCGCAAGAACACCAGUGGCGAAGGCGGCUCACUGGCCCGAUACUGACGCUGAGGCACGAAAGCGUGGGGAGCAAACAGG
rnacentral:rRNA from 1 species